rnacentral:rRNA from 1 species
GAUGAACGCUCGCUACAGGCUUAACACAUGCAAGUCGCGGGGCAGCAUGGGGGUUGCUUGCAACUCCCGAUGGCGACCGGCGCACGGGUGAGUAACGCGUAUCCAACCCGCCCUUCACCACGGGAUAACCCGGCGAAAGUCGGACUAAUACCGUAUGUUGUCCAUUGACGGCAUCCGAUUUGGACGAAAGGCUUUGCGGUGAAGGAUGGGGAUGCGUCCGAUUAGCCAGACGGCGGGGUAACGGCCCACCGUGGCUACGAUCGGUAGGGGUUCUGAGAGGAAGGUCCCCCACACUGGAACUGAGACACGGUCCAGACUCCUACGGGAGGCAGCAGUGAGGAAUAUUGGUCAAUGGGCGUAAGCCUGAACCAGCCAAGUAGCGUGCAGGAUGACGGCCCUAUGGGUUGUAAACUGCUUUUAUGCGGGGAUAAAGUGGCCCACGUGUGGGCUUUUGCAGGUACCGCAUGAAUAAGGACCGGCUAAUUCCGUG